rnacentral:misc_RNA from 1 species
CUAAUCCUACUCAUCUUCUCUUCUCCUUCGCCCGUGACUCUGCUCUAGUCCCCUUCGUCUGGAUCGUUUCAUCAUCUUCCGCUUACAGCAAUUAACAUGCUACUCUCUAAGAGCCCUUCAUUAUUUUAAUUUACAUUUAAACUGCCUAUUUAAGACACCAACUAAAAGUCAAAACUCAAAAAUUGCAUACAUUGAAUCAGAUAUUAUACUUAAUUUUGAUAGUCAAUGUCAACAAUAAUGCUGCAUAGUCAUUAAUAGCAACAAUAUUCUUAUCAUCUGCCAAUCUAAUUUUUGUCUGCACUUCACCUCUUAAUAAUGCUCCUCUGAAGAAGACUAUAGUGUUCCUCAGAACAUUACAACACCACCCAAACCCUUCAACACCAGAACACAGAAAUUCAAGUUUUCCUACGCCCACAAAAUAAGUAAUUUUCCCGAGAAAACCAAUAGACAAUAGGGUUUUUUUUUUUUUCUUCUCAUUUUUUAAGCUGGUUAUUGCAGAAUAGAAAAACCUUCUUAAAUGCCCGGACCCCAAAGCCUCCAUAAACGAGAGUUUAAUAAUCCCACCACGUCCGGUAAAACCUUCCUGACCAAACCUUUGUGGUUAGCCUCCAAAGCUUGUACGCUCACCACCUCCAUUUCCAGAUUCCUUGUCAUCUCAUUCUCACCCAUCUUCUCUCCUUCACAGAUAACUCCAUUUUCCUCCAUAUCUCCUCCUUCAGUGUUCUCUUGCAUAAUCACCACCUCACAUUCAUCUUCACCCACCGAUAUUUCGACUUCCGUCUCAGGUUUAUUCACCGAAAUAAUGGAUUCAACACUGGCCAUAAUCACCUUUUUACCUCUCUUUCUCCCUUUAGUGUGUUUCCUUGGAGACUCAUUUUGCAGCAAAUGCUCUUCAAAAGCUUCAAUAGCUUGGUGAAUGAGCUCUCUGUUGGGAGAGGAGUCCCAUCUAUACCAAAAACUAGUGUAACAAUCAAAACACCCACAUUCGAAAAGAUGGACCUUUUGAACAGUUUUGUUCUUUCCGUUGGAGGUAGUGGUUUUGCAUUUGCUCUUGGGAUAGUGGUUACUAUUGAGAGAAGAAAAAGAGUUGGUGCUGCUGGUGGAGAUAAGGGACCUUGCUAUCAAGUAGGCCAAAACUUCACGGUCUUGGUUUGGGAGAGAUAAGGCUAGGGCUAGGAUGGCCACUGGGAGUAGCUUUAAAACAGAAUCAGUAUCUUUAUAUGAAGACGAUGAUGGUGGAGAAGAUAGGAAUGGGUACGCAUUGCCUUUUGUCUUAAACUUCAUCUCUUUGUGGUUUAUCACUCUCUUUCUUCCUUUGUCCAUCUUGCAUAAAGAUUGUUAUUUUAUUGUGAAGUUAUUUCGUGGAGCGUCUCGAGUCCCGAGACGGGACGGAUGGGACCUAGGGUUGGCACUGUUCGGGAAGAGACGUAGAGAGGGUUCCUUUGGCAGCUACCACCACCGAAGAGCUUUUACUUUAAGUGGCUGUACCACGCCGACCGGCUAUUUAAGGGGUCUCUGUGUGCCUCGAUGGAAUAUAGACUGUUGAUGCUUUACUUUUCAGUGAUAUACGCAAAUUCAUUGAAACAAACAAUGUUUUGUUGUCCUUGUAGGUUAACGGAAUAUGGGGGAAUGCCUCACUCUCAUGUUUCAACCGAAAAAAAAAAACCAGUGGGCUUUGGAUGGUAGGGUCGUGGAAAUGAGUUUCAUUCCAGCCUGAAAUGAAAAAUGAGUUUUAUAUUUUAUCUCUAAAUUUAGUGGGAAU